rnacentral:sRNA from 1 species
GAAUGUGGUAGCAAUCUAACUGCAAUAUUGGCCAAUAUCAUCAAUCCCCAGAGUUGAUUUGGAUGAUCUGCCUUGGAGGGAGGGUGUCUUCUGUUUUUCUUUUAUCACAGAUGUGCAAUCUUUUUUCCAGCUGAGCACUCAAUCAAUGAAAAUAAUCUACUCUGAAAGAAGAAAGAGCAUAGUUAGGUUGUGACUGGCCAUGGUUAUCAAACAUAUCCCACCACCAGAACAUAGUUUCU